rnacentral:tRNA from 1 species
GGGGAUUUAGCUCAGUGGUAGAGUGCUUGCUUAGCAAGCACAAGACCCUGGGUUCAGUCCCCAGCUCCG